rnacentral:rRNA from 1 species
GACGAACGCUGGCGGCGUGCUUAACACAUGCAAGUCGAACGGAAAGGCCCUGCCUUUGUGGGGUGCUCGAGUGGCGAACGGGUGAGUAACACGUGAGUAACCUGCCCUUUACUUUGGGAUAACUUCAGGAAACUGGGGCUAAUACCGGAUAGGAGCUCCUGCUGCAUGGUGGGGGUUGGAAAGUUUCGGCGGUUGGGGAUGGACUCGCGGCUUAUCAGCGUGUGGGUGGGGUAGUGGCUUACCAAGGCUUUGACGGGUAGCCGGCGUGAGAGGGUGACCGGCCACAUUGGGACAGAGAUACGGCCGAGACUCCUGCGGGGGACAGCAGUGGGGUAUAUUGCACAAUGGGCGGAAGCGUUGUGCAGCAGCGGCGCGUGCGGGAUGACGGCCUUCGGUGUGUAAACCGCUUUCGCCUGUGACGAAGUGUGAGUGACGGUAAUGUGUAAAGAAGCACCGGCUAACUACGUG